GCUCAUGUGGUUUAGUGAUAUGAGCGUCCGCCUCGGAUGCGGUAGGCUGUAGGUUCGAACACCGUCCGAGUCAUACCAAAAACU